rnacentral:rRNA from 1 species
UACGUAGGGUGCAAGCGUUAAUCGGAAUUACUGGGCGUAAAGCGUGCGCAGGCGGUUCCGCAAGUCAGAUGUGAAAUCCCCGGGCUCAACCUGGGAACUGCAUUUGAAACUACGGGGCUAGAGUGUGUCAGAGGGGGGUGGAAUUCCACGUGUAGCAGUGAAAUGCGUAGAGAUGUGGAGGAACACCAAUGGCGAAGGCGGGUCUCUGGACAGUUCCUGACGCUGAGGCACGAAGGUCAGGGGAGCAAACGGG